UUUACAUUUGCUUCCAACAGACCAGAGUGCUUUCUCCCAACCUGGACAUUUCACCGACAUAUAAACCCCACUUGCCUAGUUUCCAACAGAACUCACAAACUCUGAGGAUGCCUGCCAUAGAUGUGGGCAAAACGUCAGGAGAGAAAGCUUCUGGAACAUGGCCAUACAGCCCGGAAAACUCACAGCAACCCAAUGAUGCACAUCUUUCUCCUCAUUAUAGACUAUGCUGUACCCAACCCCGAGCCACAAGGAGAGGCAGCUUUGACCUUCCGUCGUCUUCUUGACGGACGCCAUCUGCUUACUCUGGACUUACGGACUGACUGACUACGGCCUCGGAUUCUCCUACCUGUGUCUAUCGUUGGAACUGGUGAACUACAAACGUCUGCAUCUGCCUUACGACCUUCGGAACGGAUUGGGACUUCGCUGACUGCUUCUGCCCUCGUCUGCUGUGUUUGUAUCAGGAAAUUGCCUGCUGUGUGGAGGAGUAACCUCUAAGUUACUCAAAUAUAGCUCUUGGCAGCAGAGAAGCAUCUGCUGCCAAUUAGUUGCAUUCCUUUGAACUUUUUGUUCACCAGCUUCUGUUUGUUUAUUCCCAGGCUGAAGCAAGCUGUUUUGAUUUAACCCGGAUUAAACUCCGGUUUAAUCCGGUUUAUCUUUUGAACGUUUUUCUUGUCUCUUUUUACUUUUAAGGCCAGUGUUUGCCUAGCCCUUGUCUUUUACGGGCAUUUUUGGUUCUGUAACUCCAAUAAACUUUGUUAUCUUUUA